GGGGAUUUAGCUCAGCGGCAUAAGCGCCUGCCUUGCAAGCAGGUAGUCGUGAAUUCGAGAUCCCCG
rfam:Cavia porcellus supercont2_23 genomic scaffold, whole genome shotgun sequence.